rnacentral:rRNA from 1 species
UACGAAGGGGGCUAACGUUGCUCGGAAUCACUGGGCGUAAAGCGCACGUAGGCGGCUUCUUAAGUCAGGGGUGAAAUCCUGGAGCUCAACUCCAGAACUGCCCUUGAUACUGAGGAGCUCGAGUCCGGAAGAGGUGAGUGGAACUCCGAGUGUAGAGGUGAAAUUCGUAGAUAUUCGGAAGAACACCAGUGGCGAAGGCGGCUCACUGGUCCGGUACUGACGCUGAGGUGCGAAAGCGUGGGGAGCAACAGG